ACGCACACUCCUGCGGGAGGCAGCAGUGGGGAAUUUUGGACAAUGGGCGAAAGCCUGAUCCAGCAAUGCCGCGUGAGUGAAGAAGGCCUUCGGGUUGUAAAGCUCUUUUGUCAGGGAAGAAACGGUGAGAGCUAAUAUCUUUUGCUAAUGACGGUACCUGAAGAAUAAGCACCGGCUAACUACGUGCCAGCAGCCGCGGUAAUACGUAGGGUGCAAGCGUUAAUCGGAAUUACUGGGCGUAAAGCGUGCGCAGGCGGUUUUGUAAGUCUGAUGUGAAAUCCCCGGGCUCAACCUGGGAAUUGCAUUGGAGACUGCAAGGCUAGAAUCUGGCAGAGGGGGGUAGAAUUCCACGUGUAGCAGUGAAAUGCGUAGAUAUGUGGAGGAACACCGAUGGCGAAGGCAGCCCCCUGGGUCAAGAUUGACGCUCAUGCACGAAAGCGUGGGGAGCAAACAGGAUUAGAAACCCCAGUAGUCCC
rnacentral:rRNA from 1 species